rnacentral:rRNA from 1 species
GUAUGGCGCAAGCGUUAUCCGGAAUUAUUGGGCGUAAAGAGCUCGUAGGCGGUUUGUCGCGUCUGCUGUGAAAUCCCGAGGCUCAACUUCGGGUCUGCAGUGGGUACGGGCAGACUAGAGUGCGGUAGGGGAGAUUGGAAUUCCUGGUGUAGCGGUGGAAUGCGCAGAUAUCAGGAGGAACACCGAUGGCGAAGGCAGAUCUCUGGGCCGUAACUGACGCUGAGGAGCGAAAGGGUGGGGAGCAAACAGGCUUAGAUACCCUGGUAGUCCACCCCGUAAACGUUGGGAACUAGUUGUGGGGUCCAUUCCACGGAUUCCGUGACGCAGCUAACGCAUUAAGUUCCCCGCCUGGGGAGUACGGCCGCAAGGCUA